rnacentral:rRNA from 1 species
CACGUAGGGUGCGAGCGUUGUCCGGAAUUACUGGGCGUAAAGAGCUCGUAGGUGGUUUGUCGCGUUGUUCGUGAAAUCUCACGGCUUAACUGUGAGCGUGCGGGCGAUACGGGCAGACUGGAGUACUGCAGGGGAGACUGGAAUUCCUGGUGUAGCGGUGGAAUGCGCAGAUAUCAGGAGGAACACCGGUGGCGAAGGCGGGUCUCUGGGCAGUAACUGACGCUGAGGAGCGAAAGCGUGGGGAGCGAACAGG